rnacentral:misc_RNA from 1 species
UCCGGUUUGUCACCGGCAGUCUCAUUAGAGUGCCCUUGCGUAGCAACUAAUGAUAAGGGUUGCGCUCGUUGCGGGACUUAACCCAACAUCUCACGACACGAGCUGACGACAGCCAUGCAGCACCUGUGUAUCGGCUCUCUUUCGAGCACGCCUCAAUCUCUCAAGGCUUCCGACCAUGUCAAGGGUAGGUAAGGUUUUUCGCGUUGCAUCGAAUUAAUCCACAUCAUCCACCGCUUGUGCGGGUCCCCGUCAAUUCCUUUGAGUUUUAAUCUUGCGACCGUACUCCCCAGGCGGUCUACUUCACGCGUUAGCUGCGUUACCAAGUCAAUAAAGACCCGACAACUAGUAGACAUCGUUUAGGGCGUGGACUAC